rnacentral:rRNA from 1 species
AUACGGAGGGUGCAAGCGUUGUUCGGAAUCACUGGGCGUAAAGGGCGCGCAGGCGGUUUUACAAGUCAGAUGUGAAAGCCCACGGCUCAACCGUGGAAGUGCAUUUGAAACUGUAAGACUUGAGUAUCAGAGGGGAAGGUGGAAUUCCCGGUGUAGAGGUGAAAUGCGUAGAUAUCGGGAGGAAUACCGGUGGCGAAGGCGACUUUCUGGCUGAAUACUGACGCUGAGGCGCGAAAGCGUGGGGAGCAAACAGGAUUAGAAACCCCAGUAGUCC